GCGCCGUAGUGGGGUGGCUGUCGCGGGCUUCAAAUCC
rnacentral:tRNA from 17 species